ACUUUCAAUUUAAUUAAACUUACACAUGCAAGUCUCCUCACACCAGUGAAAACGCCCUUUACCUCCCCCACCCCUUAGAGGAAAAGGAGUUGGUAUCAGGCUCAAACAGCCCAAAACACCUAGCUACGCCACACCUCCAAAGGACUACAGCAGUGAUUAACAUUAAGCAUUAGCGCAAGCUAAACUUAGUUAUAAUUAAAAUAGUCGGUCAAUUUCGUGCCAGCCACCGCGGUUAUACGAAAGACUUAAAUUGAAAGUUGCCGGCGUAAAGCGUGAUUAGUGAACUUCAUAUCUAAAGCUAAACUCUGAUUUAAUUGUUAUAAGUUCUUAUCAGCAGGAAACCCAAUAACGAAAGUAGCUUUAUUUAUCCCUGACUUCACGGUAGCCAAGAUCCAAACUGGGAUUAGAUACCCCACUAUGCUUGGCCCUAAACUUUGAUAAUUACAAUUCACUCCGCCCGGGUACUACGAGCUUUAGCUUAAAACCCAAAGGACUUGGCGGUGCCCUAUUCCACCUAGAGGAGCCUGUUCUUUAAUCGAUAACCCACGAUAUACCUAACCAUUUCUUGCCUAAACCGCCUAUAUACCGCCGUCGUCAAUUUACCCUUUGAAGGACUCAUAGAAAGUUAAAAGGUCCCCGCCAAAACGUCAGGUCAAGGUGUAGCGAAUGAAAUGGGAAGAAACGGGCUACAUUUUCUAACAUAGACUAUACGGAUAAUCAAUAUGAAAUCUGAUCUUGAAGGAGGAUUUAGUAGUAAAAAGAAAUCAGCAAGUUCGUUUUAACCUGGCCCUAGGGCGCGCACACACCGCCCGUCACCCUCUCAACUCUUUAACUAUUACUAAUAAACUAUUUUUAACAGAAGAGGUAAGUCGUAACAUGGUAAGUAUACCGGAAGGUGUACUUGGAACAGAGUG
rnacentral:ncRNA from 1 species